UCGCUUCAUAUGAAUUGAAUUUCUCGAUUAAAUAUUCAUAGUUGAUAUCAAUGUCCAACCUUGAAAGUGAAAGGUUUCAGUUCUCAUUGAAACCACUGCAUUAGUAACUCGAUGCAUUCGUUUUGUCUUCACUUUGUCAUAGUAGACACAUUUGCCCCAUUCUGAUUUUAAAACUCUGCUACACAAGUUAAUAUAAUGACAAUGUAAGUGCCAAAGAUAAUGAAAAUGUUUGCUUCCUAUAAGCUUAUAAACAUAGGAGUGGCAACCUAAGCAUGUGGUGCCCUAUCUUGACUUUAUUCUAUCAGUAGGCUUGCAAACAUAAGAUGACUUGCAUGAGAACAUCAAUGCCAAAAUCAUCUGCCGCUCACAAAAAUGACAGGUCAUAGCAAAAGUAAAGCGUCCUGGUGUAAAGCUAUAUACAUUCAUGCAAAAAAAUCUUAUAAUUAUAGGCAGAUUAUUAACAAAAGUACAUAGAAUCGAAAGGUGUAGCGGCUACCGAUACGUCUGAAGCUCAUAGCAAGUAGGAAACUUCCCAUGCAGAGUGUAUGUCUUGGAAAGAAGAGAAAAGAAGGUGCAGCACCACAAUACAUAAUUUGUUAGACUAAAGAGCACUACAAUAUCACAAUAAUUUGAAGGAGCAAUUGUAUGCCUAAUCAUGGUCUAAACAUAUGUGACUUUGGUACAUGUAUUUCUUUGAUCAUUUUUCAUCUGAAUAAUCAGGUUCUUAAAAUAAUGACAGUCCAGUUUGAUUAUAAUCAAAUAAAUCAACCAGCUAUGCAAGCAUGAUAGUUAUUAACAGAGAGACACAUCACACCAGUUCAAAAUUUCAUGAUAGGUGCUUACUAUAUUUUCUAAGAUUGGCUGCAUCUUAUUAGAAUCAAGAAAUACAUGUAUACGCCAGCAGCUAGUGCUCCCAGGGAACUGAAUUAUGCUUAUGCAGCGCCAUGAAUAUCUAAAUAUACAUUAUACUGAAUAUAUAUGAUGUAUUUACUUUGUCUUUUCAGCUGUCGUGGUUAAAAGUUCUAAACCGGACUUAUAUUCUACAAAAAUAUUUACCUGGCAUGAUCCAUUGUGUUGUUGCAAAUAUAAAUAUAUUUUUAAUCAAUCAUUUGUACAUAUCUAAACUCUACGAUCUAGCCAUGAUUACUAUGCAAUUACGAAGUUCUCAACUUUCUCUUCUCUUCAUUUAUAAUUAGAACAUGACACACUACUUUGAUAUAUCCCCUUCUUGACACAGAGAUCCUAAAAACCAUCAGGCACAUAAGCCUAAAAUAAACAGUGGUGAUUACCUUGGGAAAAGAUCACUUUCACCCUUCUCUUUCUACAUAGAUAAGCAAAAAUGGUUCCUUAAAUAGAGAAGUUUUUUGGAAAAAUUCACAUGGAGAAAGCAAGAAAUCUAACCAUGCUGCCGAGGUGAAGCAUCUAACAACCCAAAAGGUACAACAUAAUAGCCAUGAGGAGGAAUGCCAAAUGAGACCAUAGAAAAAGGAAUGCACAAAAAGAAACCAAUCAACUUAAGGAACUUGAUCGUUGUCAUACCUUCAUGUUGCCUUUGACUUAAUCAAAUGC
rnacentral:lncRNA from 1 species